GGAAUCCAGAAUCACGCUUCAGUUGGCCUAAGUGUGACUCCUGUGUGGAUGGGACUAUCCGCCUCGCGCUCUGUUGCAGGGCUCAACGUGGGGAUAUGUCAUCUGUGAACCAUGUGGAUGAAAAACAGACAACCAGCCCUCCUCUGUGUGGAGUCUCUCGCUGGACCUGGAACUCAGGGAUCCUAGGCAGGUCAGCUGGAAGGGAAGACACGUCUCUCCAUACCAAGCCUGAGGUUCACCGCGAAAGAGAGGCCGCCGCUCUGCCCCCACCCCGCCCCAACCCCGCCCAAACCUGCUCCUCCAGCAGAGCCCAGUGUUCAUCCUGGCUGAGGAGUGGUUCCAGCAAAGCGGGCUCUUCCACGUCCUUCAGCUCCCCCAGUGGCGCCGGAUCUAGGAAAUGUUGUGCCUUUUGCUGAAACUCUGGGGUUGACAGGAGCUCAUCUAACAGGCUGGAGGUGAGUGCAGACGAGCUCCUCGGCUCCUGGAGCGGUUGGGAGGCGCCUGGAUGGCUGGCAUCUGUGCUUGCCGCGGAGGCCUCGGGUCGCGAUCUCCGGAGGUGGAGGUGCCCCGUCUUCGGGUUCCCACGUCACCCUGGCGACCUGGGGCUCCAGCCCCACCACGGAUUCUGGUGGGACGUGGGUGGCACAAGCACACCUUGCCCCUGUGACUCAGCUUGAGGGGGCCCAAAAUGAGCACGCGCCCAGGAGGCCCUCGCGCAGCGGUUUCUGGUCUUCCUGUCAUUUGUUGGGGUGCGGAGGCCACCAGGGAGUCUGAGGAUGGGACAGCCCCAGUUCCGGAGGAACCAGGGCAGGGAACACAAAGCCCCACAUGCUCGGGCAGGUUGGGAGAGUCCUUCUGCCUGCGCAGCCUGGCUGGGCUGGAGCAGGGGGAUGGCCCUUGCUGCCUGGCUCACGAAAUCCCCCUGUGGGAGAGCCCCAGGCGCGCAGGGCAUGUGCGGUGUCGGAAGCGCCGUUCCCCAUGCCCUGUUGUGGGUGAACUCGAUAGAGGAGGGAGGAGGGUGACACCCACCGGUGGUGCCAAUUAGUAACCACAGUGGCCUCAAAGAACUCAAAUGAAAGGAAGACUUUCACGUCUUUCACUUGAAGUCCAGAGCUAGAAAUGAUUAAGCUUAAUGAAGAUGUAGAAUUUUCAUAGCUAGAGAGAAGUCAAUGCUUGGCUUCAAAACUUCAAAGGAUGGGCUGACUCUCUUUGAGGACCACUGCAGCUGGUGACUUUUAAGUUACAGCCCAGUGCUCAUUGACCACUCUGAAAAUCUCAGGGCCCUUAAGAAUUAUGCAAAAUCUAUUCUUUCUGUGCUCUAGAAAUGGAACAUCACUGUCUGGGUGACAGCACAUCUGUUAAUGGCAUGGUUUACUGAAUAUUUUAAUCCCAAUAUUGAGACCUACUGCUCAGAAAAAAAAGUGAUUCCUUUAAAAAGAUUGUUGCUUGGCCAGGCAUAGUGGCUCACACCUGUAAUCCCUGCACUUUGGGAGGCCGAGGAUCACCUGAGGUCAGGAGUUCAAGACCAGCCUGGCCAAAAUGAUGAAACCCCAUCUCUAAUAAAAAUACAAAAAAAUUAGCCGGGCAUGGUGGUAAUACCUGUAAUUUCAGCUACUCAGGAGGCUGAGGCAGAAGAAUGGCUUGAACUCUGGAGGCGGAGGUGGCAGUGAGCCGAGACCACACCACUGCACUCCAGCCUGGGGAACAAGAGCGAAACUAUGUCAAAAAAAUAAUAAUAAUAAAAUAAAAUAAAAGGAAAGAAAAGGAAAAAGGAAAAAAAAGAUUGCUGCUUAUUGACAAUUCACCUAGCUACCCAGAAGCUUAGAUGGAGAGGUACUUGGAAAUUAAUGUUAUUUUCAUGGCUGCUAAUACAAUAUUUACCUUCAGCCUGUGGAUCAAGGA